AACGAACGCUGGCGGCAUGCCUAACACAUGCAAGUCGAACGAGACCUUCGGGUCUAGUGGCGCACGGGUGCGUAACGCGUGGGAACCUGCCCUUAGGUUCGGAAUAACUCCCCGAAAGGGGUGCUAAUACCGGAUAAUGUCUUCGGACCAAAGAUUUAUCGCCUUUGGAUGGGCCCGCGUUGGAUUAGCUAGUUGGUAGGGUAAAAGCCUACCAAGGCGACGAUCCAUAGCUGGUCUGAGAGGAUGAUCAGCCACACUGGGACUGAGACACGGCCCAGACUCCUACGGGAGGCAGCAGUGGGGAAUAUUGGAAAAUGGGCGAAAGCCUGAACCAGCAAUGCCGCGUGAGUGAUGAAGGCCUUAGGGUUGUAAAGCUCUUUUACCAGGGAUGAUAAUGACAGUACCGGGAGAAUAAGCACCGGCUAACUCCGUG
rnacentral:rRNA from 1 species